rnacentral:rRNA from 1 species
GACGAACGCUGGCGGCGUGCCUAAUAAAUGGAAGUUGAACGCACGAAGUUGAAGAGCUUGCUCUUUAACCAAGUGAGUGGCGGACGGGUGAGUAACACGUGGGUAACCUGCCC